rnacentral:rRNA from 1 species
UGUCCAGACUCCUACGGGAGGCAGCAGUGGGGAAUAUUGCACAAUGGGGGAAACCCUGAUGCAGCAACGCCGCGUGAAGGAAGACGGUUUUCGGAUUGUAAACUUCUGUUCUUAGUGAAGAAGAAUGACGGUAGCUAAGGAGCAAGCCCCGGCUAACUACGUGCCAGCAGCCGCGGUAAUACGUAGGGGGCAAGCGUUAUCCGGAUUUACUGGGUGUAAAGGGAGCGUAGACGGCCAGACAAGUCUGAAGUGAAAAUCCAGCGCUUAACGUUGGAAGUGCUUUGGAAACUGCCGGGCUAGAGUGCAGGAGGGGCAGGCGGAAUUCCUAGUGUAGCGGUGAAAUGCGUAGAUAUUAGGAGGGACACCAGUGGCGAAGGCGGCCUGCUGGACUGCAACUGACGUUGAGGCUCGAAGGCGUGGGGAGCAAACGGGAUUAGAUACCCCAGUAA